rnacentral:rRNA from 1 species
GCCGGUGUUUUAUUUAUGUGUGUCCUACCUCAUCCCAUUCCGAACUGAGAAGUAAAAGCACAUAAAACCGAUGAUACUAGUUCCUUCGGGGGCCGGGAAAGUAGGUUACGCCGGCA